rnacentral:rRNA from 1 species
AGCAGUCGCCACGGUAAUACGAAGGGUGCAAGCGUUAAUCGGAGUUACUGGGCGUAAAGCGCACGCAGGCGGUUUGUUAAGUCAGAUGUGAAAUCCCCGAGCUUAACUUGGGAACUGCAUUUGAAACUGGCAAGCUAGAGUCUUGUAGAGGGGGGUAGAAUUCCAGGUGUAGCGGUGAAAUGCGUAGAGAUCUGGAGGAAUACCGGUGGCGAAGGCGGCCCCCUGGACAAAGACUGACGCUCAGGUGCGAAAGCGUGGGGAGCAAACAGGAUUAGAUACCCCUGUAGUCCCUGUCUCUUAUAC